rnacentral:rRNA from 1 species
AACGCCGCGUGAGCGAUGAAGGCCUUCGGGUCGUAAAGCUCUGUGUUAGGGAAGAACAAGUAUCGGAGUAACUGCCGGUACCUUGACGGUACCUAACCAGAAAGCCACGGCUAACUACGUGCCAGCAGCCGCGGUAAUACGUAGGUGGCAAGCGUUGUCCGGAAUUAUUGGGCGUAAAGCGCGCGCAGGCGGUCCUUUAAGUCUGAUGUGAAAGCCCACGGCUCAACCGUGGAGGGUCAUUGGAAACUGGGGGACUUGAGUACAGAAGAGGAAAGCGGAAUUCCACGUGUAGCGGUGAAAUGCGUAGAGAUGUGGAGGAACACCAGUGGCGAAGGCGGCUUUCUGGUCUGUAACUGACGCUGAGGCGCGAAAGCGUGGGGAGCAAACAGGAUUAGAUACCCUGGUAGUCCACGCCGUAAACGAUGAGUGCUAAGUGUUAGAGGGUUUCCGCCCUUUAGUGCUGCAGCUAACGCAUUAAGCACUCCGCCUGGGGAGUACGGCCGCAAGGCUG